rnacentral:tRNA from 1 species
CGGGGCGUGGCUCAGCCCGGCUAGAGCGCCUGCUUUGGGAGCAGGAUGUCGCAGGUUCAAAUCCUGCCGCCCCGA